rnacentral:hammerhead_ribozyme from 1 species
AUUCAGCUGAUGAGUCCCAAGUAGGACGAAACGCGCGUUCUGGAU